rnacentral:snoRNA from 1 species
CUUCAAUGAAGAGAUGAUGACGAGUCUGACUGGGGUGCUAUCUCUGUCCUGUCACUGGAAAAGGAAAGGAACAAGGAGGAUUCCUAAUAAGAGAGAAGG